CUUAAAAAGAAAAAAACAAAAACCCCACUCUGACAUCACUUCAGCAGCUUCUCACCAAGUCCUCCCCUUUGCCUACCCCUAGGUCCCUGCUAGCCCUGGUUCUUCCCUCUGCUUCCUGAAUAACUCACAAGAAGAGUUCUAAUCCUUCUGGUACCUUCAGGGUAAGCAUGAUCCCCCAGUGGGGCUUAUGGGCUCCAAAUGUUUUCCAAUAACAUGUCAUUUCUAGGAACCGUCCCUCCCUCAGCCCUGCUCGGCUGCGGCCUCCACCCUCAAGCUUAACCAUUCAUGGACCUGUCUGUCCUCUGUGACCCAGGCUCUCUGGGGCUGGCCAUCCUCAUCACUGGCAGAAACACACUGGGCAUGGAAUAAAGGAACCAAAGCAACCUUGGCCCAGAUCCUGGUCCCAGGAGCUGUGGUGGGCUAUGUUGGGCCUGGCCAGCCCAGCUCUGUGACGUCACAUUG